rnacentral:rRNA from 1 species
AGUGAACGCUGGCGGUAGGCCUAACACAUGCAAGUCGAACGGCAGCACAGAGGAGCUUGCUCCUUGGGUGGCGAGUGGCGGACGGGUGAGGAAUACAUCGGAAUCUACUCUGUCGUGGGGGAUAACGUAGGGAAACUUACGCUAAUACCGCAUACGACCUACGGGUGAAAGCAGGGGACCUUCGGGCCUUGCGCGAUUGAAUGAGCCGAUGUCGGAUUAGCUAGUUGGCGGGGUAAAGGCCCACCAAGGCGACGAUCCGUAGUUGGUCGGAGAGGAUGAUCAGCCACACGAGAACUGAGACACGGGCCAGACUCCGACGGGAGGCAGCAGUGGGGAAUAUUGGACAAUGGGCGCAAGCCUGAUCCAGCCAUACCGCGUGGGUGAAGAAGGCCUUCGGGUUGUAAAGCCCUUUUGUUGGGAAAGAAAUCCAGCUGGCUAAUACCCGGUUGGGAUGACGGUACCCAAAGAAUAAGCACCGGCUAACUUCGUGCCAGCCGCCGCGGUAA